rnacentral:rRNA from 1 species
UACGUAGGUCCCGAGCGUUGUCCGGAUUUAUUGGGCGUAAAGCGAGCGCAGGUGGUUUAUUAAGUCUGGUGUAAAAGGCAGUGGCUCAACCAUUGUAUGCAUUGGAAACUGGUAGACUUGAGCGCAGGAGAGGAGAGUGGAAUUCCAUGUGUAGCGGUAAAAUGCGUAGAUAUAUGGAGGAACACCGGUGGCGAAAGCGGCUCUCUGGCCUGUAACUGACACUGAGGCUCGAAAGCGUGGGGAGCAAACAGG